UACGUAGGGGGCAAGCGUUGUCCGGAUUUACUGGGCGUAAAGAGCGUGUAGGCGGCCAGGUAGGUCGGUUGUGAAAACUGGAGGCUCAACCUUCAGACGUCGACCGAAACCAUCUGGCUAGAGUCCGGGAGAGGAGAGUGGAAUUCCUGGUGUAGCGGUGAAAUGCGCAGAUAUCAGGAAGAACACCCGUGGCGAAAGCGGCUCUCUGGAACGGUACUGACGCUGAGACGCGAAAGCGUGGGGAGCGAACAGG
rnacentral:rRNA from 1 species